AGAACUGAAUUCUAGCAUUUUGAGGAGGAAGGAUGUUGAAGGAUCAUUAUGUUUCAGCCCAGGCACAGGCCUGAAAUAUGUAGUUAUGGUGGAUGCCAUUUUAUGCAUCCCCAAUAGGCAUUUAGCCAGGGAUUCCUUCUUCCACCUUCACAGCCAUUGUAACAUGUACCACAUUAUCCUCUGCCUGCUUCAUCAUUGAGGUCUUUGGGUCUUCGGAUUGUUCGUAGUCUGGAACCUCCCCUGCAGGCACUCUUGUGAGUGCACAACUCCAGUCAUUGCACCCGCAGGUUCAUUGGAACACGACAAGGUGACAAUCCAUUGAAGGGAAUCAGAGAGAUGAGAGCUCAGUACAUCAUCUGCAGGACCUAUCUCUGAAGCAGCCAGAAGAAGAAAGAAAGCAAGAGGCCAUUUUCAACCCAUCCGACCACCAGAUUCUAGAGUCUACACUUCGGAUCUGUCAUCGACUUUUCAAUUUUGGAUUUGAUGAAAUUUGUUCUAAUUGCCUGUUCAUGGGCUGCAGGAAUCAGGCUCUCAGGCUUCUUUUUCAAAGUUCCAUUUGUGAGUCACAUUCAUGAUUUUUUCUUUAUUAUUAUUAUUAUUAU